rnacentral:RNase_P_RNA from 1 species
ACGAGGAAUAGGGCCACAGAGACGAGCGUAUUUAGUUACGGUGAAACGCGGUAACCUCCACCCGGAGCAAUUUCAAAUAGGCACGCGUUGAGGCGGCUCGCGGAGCGUGCGGGUAGAAAGCUUGAGCCUGGGAGUAAUCCCAGGCCUAGAGGAAUGAUUGUCAUAGCACGAGGCAGCAAUGCUAAGUGCCGUAACAGAAUCCGGCCUACCGGCCUGCUUCACUU